rnacentral:rRNA from 1 species
CCUACGGGGGGCUGCAGUAGGGAAUAUUGCGCAAUGGGGGAAACCCUGACGCAGCAACGCCGCGUGAGUGAGGAAGGUCUUCGGAUUGUAAAGCUCUUUUAUUAGGGAAAAAUGAGUUUGUGGUUAAUACCCAUGAGCAGUGAUGGUACCUAAGGAAUAAGCACCGGCUAACUUCGUGCCAGCAGCCGCGGUAAUACGAAGGGUGCAAGCGUUGUUCGGAUUUAUUGGGCGUAAAGCGCGCGCAGGCGGAUUUGUAAGUCAGAUGUGAAAUCUCG